GAUCUGAAGUCCGCGUGUCGAGCUGUCAAUUCCCCCGGCCGGCGCUAACGAGGGAACGACUCCCAGGUGCCGCGGGGCCGCGGCCGCCCGGGCUCAGCUGCGCCUCGUUGGCGGCCGGGGGCGGGUUCCGGCCCGAGCGGCUCUUAAGCUCCUCCCGAGGCCGCAGGGAGCCAUCAGACGGCUCCGGGAUCUCAUAGAGUGCGGACGUCGGCGUGGGCUCCGCUCCUUCGUCAGGUUGCGGUGGGACGUUUCCCGGUGAAGAUGAGCCCGAUCCGGUGAGCCGUUCAGGCCGAGCAUCUCGUCAGCCCGAAGCGGCGAGCGUUCAGAAGCCGCUCGGGAGACGCGGCGGCACGGCUCGCACGACCGGACCGCCGUGUUCUUUUCCGGAACUCCUUGAGCUCUGCCUAAGGAUGAAGGAAGAAGUAGGGGAGCCCCGGGGCGCCUCACCCCAGUCGAGGCGCUGCCGGAGCUCGUAUUCCCGGUCUAGGAAGGGCUCGCGGGCGAUACGGUGAAGUUUGGGAUUAGACCGGGAAGACGCAAGGCACCUAAAGGUACCUCGUGGCAAGCGGAGGUCUUUUUUUGGGAGGUCUUUUUUUGUCAUCUCGUCACCAGUGAGAAGAGACUAGUCAGUAGCCCUGCCCUCACGGCAAGGCGGGCGAGGACGGAAGGACAGCGCGAGUCAGAGCGGCCUCGAGGGAGGGCGAGAAGGACAGGCGGCGUGACAGCAGCCGGUAGGUGUCGGGACAGCACGUUCCGGAUGUAACGUUUUGCUGCUUUUAUUACAGGUUGAGCGCUAUAGCGGAGCAUUCGGCAGCGAGGACGAGCGAGCACCGCGGCCCGGCUGUGGCAGCAUCCCCUCAGAAGCGGUUUGAGGAGCAGAGUCGGCACGGUGUCGAUGCAUCUUCGUGGUGUCAGGAAUGAGCUGGAGAGAGGAGAAGCUGGGUUCUGUAUCCUGCUGAAGAAGAAGACUAGUACAAGGAUCAGAAUUACUGGCUCCUGAAGGCUUUUUGGUGGGAUUAUUUCUGAUGUGAGCGCUACUCUUCUGCGUUGCCUGUAGGAUCUGAGAUGCCUGAGGCUAUCUGCCCUGUAGAGGAAGGACUAGGCUUAGCUCACUUGAGGGUUUGUGGUGGAGUGGAUACCUGUCUGUCUCUAACUUAAAACAGUAAUUCCUUGCAUACCUCAUAAAGAUGUGGAUGUGCAGUCUCUUUCUGUGCGUUGGCUUCGCUCGUUUGCUGCUGAAGGUUUUCAUCUUGGGGAAUGUGAAGAGGAAGAGGGAUGAUCCCUGAAGUGAUUGGCUCUUUGGCACUGCAUGCUCUAUAAAAGACAAAAAUCAGAAAGCCAACCUGGUUGGAGUGGACGUGCGACUCCUACUUCUACGUGAGAUUGCCCUGACUUCAACUGUUCAAGAUGAGAGCUGCAUCCAAGCGCUUUGUGAAGUGGGUCAGUGCUGGGCUGUGACUGCUGCCUCAAGGAAGCCUGUUCUGAUAUCUCAACCUUCCUUAGAGCGAGGUUUCUCUUCAUCUCCAGCCUGUGCUUCUUUUGACCUAACAAACAGAAAAGCUGCCUGGGAAAAGAAGCUGACCCCACCUUGCAAAUACUCCCUUUCAGCAAAGUUGAAGGGAAGGAGUUUGAGCCCUGCUUUGGAUGCUGCCUGAGAGCAUUAUUGUUGUCUUUUAAUUAUGUUCUGUUAAUUUAACAGCCAUUUAUUGACUGAAUGUAUUAGACAGCUGAAGUUAAUGGAUGUAUUGUUCUAAUAGUGGAAUAAAAUAAAACCUGUUGAAUUACCCUGAACUUGAA